rnacentral:rRNA from 1 species
AGGACACUCUAUACGGAGUUACAAAAGAACAGACUAGACGAAUCAUCUGGAAAGAUGAAUCAAAGAAGGUAAUAAUCCUGUAGUCGAAAGUUUGUUCACUCUUGAGUGGAUCCUGAGUACGACGGAACACGAGAAAUUCCGUCGGAAUCUGGGAGGACCAUCUCCCAAGGCUAAAUACUCUCUAGUGACCGAUAGUGAACCAGUACCGUGAGGGAAAGGUGAAAAGUACCCCGGAAGGGGAGUGAAAUAGAACUUGAAACCGUGUGCUUACAAGUAGUCAGAGCCCGUUAAUGGGUGAUGGCGUGCCUUUUGUAGAAUGAACCGGCGAGUUACGAUUUGAUGCAAGGUUAAGCAGUGAAUGUGGAGCCGUAGCGAAAGCGAGUCUGAAUAGGGCGUUGAGUAUUUGGUCGUAGACCCGAAACCAGGUGAUCUACCCAUGACCAGGUUGAAGUUCAGGUAACACUGAAUGGAGGACCGAACCGACUUACGUUGAAAAGUGAGCGGAUGAGUUGUGGGUAGCGGAGAAAUUCCAAUCGAACCUGGAGAUAGCUGGUUCUCUCCGAAAUAGCUUUAGGGCUAGCCUCAAGUGAUGAUUAUUGGAGGUAGAGCACUGUUUGGACGAGGGGCCCUUAUCGGGUUACCGAAUUCAGACAAACUCCGAAUGCCAAUCAAUUUAACUUGGGAGUCAGAACGCGGGUGAUAAGGUCCGUGUUCGAAAGGGAAACAGCCCAGACCACCAGCUAAGGUCCCAAAAUAUAUGUUAAGUGGAAAAGGAUGUGGCGUUGCCCAGACAACUAGGAUGUUGGCUUAGAAGCAGCCAUCAUUUAAAGAGUGCGUAAUAGCUCACUAGUCGAGUGACACUGCGCCGAAAAUGUACCGGGGCUAAACAUAUUACCGAAGCUGUGGAUUGUCCGUAAGGACAAUGGUAGGAGAGCGUUCUAAGGGCGUUGAAGCAUGAUCGCAAGGACAUGUGGAGCGCUUAGAAGUGAGAAUGCCGGUGUGAGUAGCGAAAGACGGGUGAGAAUCCCGUCCACCGAUUGACUAAGGUUUCCAGAGGAAGGCUCGUCCGCUCUGGGUUAGUCGGGUCCUAAGCUGAGGCCGAUAGGCGUAGGCGAUGGAUAACAGGUUGAUAUUCCUGUACCACCAUUAUUCGUUUUAAGCGAUGGGGGGACGCAGUAGGAUAGGCGAAGCGUACGAUUGGAUUGUACGUCCAAGCAGUGAGAUUGAGUGUUAGGCAAAUCCGGCACUCUUAAGAUUGAGCUGUGAUGGGGAGAGGAAAUUGUUUCCUCG